rnacentral:rRNA from 1 species
GGCGGACGGGUGAGUAACGCGUGGGUAACCUGCCUUAUACAGGGGGAUAACAGUCAGAAAUGGCUGCUAAUACCGCAUAAGCGCACAGAGCUGCAUGGCUCAGUGUGAAAAACUCCGGUGGUAUAAGAUGGACCCGCGUUGGAUUAGCUAGUUGGUGGGGUAACGGCCCACCAAGGCGACGACCCAUAGCCGGCCUGAGAGGGUGAACGGCCACAUUGGAACUGAGACACGGUCCAAACUCCUACGGGAGGCAGCAGUGAGGAAUAUUGGUCAAUGGUCGGCAGACUGAACCAGCCAAGUCGCGUGAGGGAAGACGGCCCUACGGGUUGUAAACCUCUUUUGUCGGAGAGUAAAGUACGCUACGUGUAGCGUAUUGCAAGUAUCCGAAGAAAAAGCAUCGGCUAACUCCGUGCCAGCAGCCGCGGUAAUACGGAGGAUGCGAGCGUUAUCCGGAUUUAUUGGGUUUAAAGGGUGCGUAGGCGGCACGCCAAGUCAGCGGUGAAAUUUCCGGGCUCAACCCGGACUGUGCCGUUGAAACUGGCGAGCUAGAGUGCACAAGAGGCAGGCGGAAUGCGUGAUGUAGCGGUGAAAUGCAUAGAUAUCACGCAGAACCCCGAUUGCGAAGGCAGCCUGCUAGGGUGCGACAGACGCUGAGGCACGAAAGCGUGGGUAUCGAACAGGAUUAGAUACCCUGGUAGUCCACGCAGUAAACGGAUGAAUACUAACUGUUUGCGAUACAAUGUAAGCGGUACAGCGAAAGCGUUAAGUAUUCCACCUGGGGAGUACGCCGGCAACGGUGAAACUCAAAGGAAUUGACGGGGGCCCGCACAAGCGGAGGAACAUGUGGUUUAAUUCGAUGAUACGCGAGGAACCUUACCCGGGCUCAAACGCAGGGGGAAUGUCGGUGAAAGCCGGCAGCUAGUAAUAGUCACCUGCGAGGUGCUGCAUGGUUGUCGUCAGCUCGUGCCGUGAGGUGUCGGCUUAAGUGCCAUAACGGGCGCAACCCCUAUCGACAGUUACUAACGGGUGAAGCCGAGGACUCUGUCGAGACUGCCGGCGCAAGCCGCGAGGAGGGUGGGGAUGACGUCAAAUCAGCACGGCCCUUACGUCCGGGGCGACACACGUGUUACAAUGGCAGGUACAGAAGGCAGCCAGUCAGCAAUGACGCGCGAAUCCCGAAAACCUGUCUCAGUUCGGAUUGGAGUCUGCAACCCGACUCCAUGAAGCUGGAUUCGCUAGUAAUCGCGCAUCAGCCAUGGCGCGGUGAAUACGUUCCCGGGCCUUGCACUCACCGCCCGUCA